rnacentral:rRNA from 1 species
UACAGAGGUCCCAAGCGUUGUUCGGAUUCACUGGGCGUAAAGGGGGCGUAGGCGGUCGGGUAAGUCUGAUGUGAAAUCUCACAGCUUAACUGUGAAACUGCAUUGGAUACUAUCCGGCUCGAGGAAUGGAGGGGAGACUGGAAUACUUGGUGUAGCAGUGAAAUGCGUAGAUAUCAAGUGGAACACCAGUGGCGAAGGCGAGUCUCUGGACAUUUCCUGACGCUGAGGCACGAAAGCCAGGGGAGCAAACGGG